AUGUGAAUGAGUUAAUUUAUUAUUAAUCUUGAUUUAUUUGUAAUCUGCUGAGAAUCGACAAUUUUAGGCUGUUCGAAGAUUAAAUCAUUACAGAGAAAAUUUUUUGCAAACAAUCUGAUAAAAAUAAUGAUAAAAGGCAUUAAAUUAAAAUAUACAGCUUUGCAAUGCACAGCUACGACAUUUAAUGGAUCUCUAUUAAGCCAGGACUCAACGUCUUCACAAAAACGUUGUAUCAGUACAAUGGGGGGAGGGUUAUGAUCCUCAAAUGGAUUUGGAAAACCUUUGAGCGAGUUUGAAAUAGGACAAAUAAAUGGCUUUACUGAAUCAUGACCAAAUGACCUUGAAAACCCUCAAAUGAUUGGCCGUAGUCAGAAUGUGGUAAAUAAUAUAAUCAAAAAACUUAAAAAAUAUUAAAGGAGGAAAAAACAUGCGGCAACGCCAUCAUAGCAUCGGACUACAUCGACUUCUCCCCUCUUGGCGAAUGAAAUCAGGGUACAAUGUGUUGAGAAAAAAUCCCUCUUAAUAAUUUACAUAAAGUUGCACGUUUCCGAUUUGCCUAAGAGCAUAUGACGUGAAACGAGGAGUGGUAUACUGCAGUCAUUCCCGACGAAAAAAGGAAGUUUUGAUUGUCUGGGCGGCUAAAACUAUUAUUUCCACGACAUAUGAAAGAGGAAUGCAUUUAAAUUCGCAAUCACUGCUGUGUAGGUGGUGUAAUAAAGUUGGGAAGCCAUAUCGUUUUAUUGCACUUGAAAGCUCCAGUUCAUCACAAUGAAGAUGAAUGCAAAUCUGUAUAAAACAGUGCGUCAAAGGAGUUUCCACAAUUUUUUUAGUGGUAUUCGUGGACGUUCCAGUAUGAAAAUUUUGCCAGGAAUUUGAAACAGUGGAUUAGCUCUCAAAAAGGUUAUAUUGCUCUACAGGCUGCAAUAGCCAUAUUAAAACAUUUGGGAAAUUUUUCCCAGGAUAGUUUACUAAGGUGAAAGUCAAUUAUACACUCUACGGACCUUAGUCGAAUUAAUUAAAAUAUUGAUAAAUGUCUCAAAAUUUUUACCAAUGCUUACGAUAGAUAUUAAUAAGAAUGAGGG